rnacentral:rRNA from 1 species
UACAGAGGUCCCGAGCGUUGUUCGGAUUCAUUGGGCGUAAAGGGUGCGUAGGCGGUCUGCUGAGUUUGAUGUGAAAUCCCGGGGCUCAACCCUGGAAUGGCAUUGAAGACUGGUGGACUAGAGUACUGGAGAGGAAACUGGAAUUUACGGUGUAGCAGUGAAAUGCGUAGAGAUCGUAAGGAAGACCAGUGGCGAAGGCGAGUUUCUGGACAGGAACUGACGCUGAGGCACGAAGGCCAGGGGAGCAAACGGG